rnacentral:rRNA from 1 species
UUUAUGGAGAGUUUGAUCCUGGCUCAGGAUGAACGCUGGCGGCGUGCCUAAUACAUGCAAGUCGAGCGAACGGACGAGAAGCUUGCUUCUCUGAUGUUAGCGGCGGACGGGUGAGUAACACGUGGAUAACCUACCUAUAAGACUGGGAUAACUUCGGGAAACCGGAGCUAAUACCGGAUAAUAUUUUGAACCGCAUGGUUCAAAAGUGAAAGACGGUCUUGCUGUCACUUAUGGAUGGACCCGCGUCGCAUUAGCUAGUUGGUAAGGUAACGGCUUACCAAGGCAACGAUGCAUAGCCGACCUGAGAGGGUGAUCGGCCACACUGGAACUGAGACACGGUCCAGACUCCUACGGGAGGCAGCAGUAGGGAAUCUUCCGCAAUGGGCGAAAGCCUGACGGAGCAACGCCGCGUGAGUGAUGAAGGUCUUCGGAUCGUAAAACUCUGUUAUUAGGGAAGAACAUAUGUGUAAGUAACUGUGCACAUCUUGACGGUACCUAAUCAGAAAGCCACGGCUAACUACGUGCCAGCAGCCGCGGUAAUACGUAGGUGGCAAGCGUUAUCCGGAAUUAUUGGGCGUAAAGCGCGCGCAGGUGGUUUCUUAAGUCUGAUGUGAAAGCCCACGGCUCAACCGUGGAGGGUCAUUGGAAACUGGGAGACUUGAGUGCAGAAGAGGAAAGUGGAAUUCCAUGUGUAGCGGUGAAAUGCGUAGAGAUAUGGAGGAACACCAGUGGCGAAGGCGACUUUCUGGUCUGUAACUGACACUGAGGCGCGAAAGCGUGGGGAGCAAACAGGAUUAGAUACCCUGGUAGUCCACGCCGUAAACGAUGAGUGCUAAGUGUUAGAGGGUUUCCGCCCUUUAGUGCUGAAGUUAACGCAUUAAGCACUCCGCCUGGGGAGUACGACCGCAAGGUUGAAACUCAAAGGAAUUGACGGGGACCCGCACAAGCGGUGGAGCAUGUGGUUUAAUUCGAAGCAACGCGAAGAACCUUACCAAAUCUUGACAUCCUUUGACAACUCUAGAGAUAGAGCCUUCCCCUUCGGGGGACAAAGUGACAGGUGGUGCAUGGUUGUCGUCAGCUCGUGUCGUGAGAUGUUGGGUUAAGUCCCGCAACGAGCGCAACCCUUAAGCUUAGUUGCCAUCAUUAAGUUGGGCACUCUAAGUUGACUGCCGGUGACAAACCGGAGGAAGGUGGGGAUGACGUCAAAUCAUCAUGCCCCUUAUGAUUUGGGCUACACACGUGCUACAAUGGACAAUACAAAGGGCAGCGAAACCGCGAGGUCAAGCAAAUCCCAUAAAGUUGUUCUCAGUUCGGAUUGUAGUCUGCAACUCGACUACAUGAAGCUGGAAUCGCUAGUAAUCGUAGAUCAGCAUGCUACGGUGAAUACGUUCCCGGGUCUUGUACACACCGCCCGUCACACCACGAGAGUUUGUAACACCCGAAGCCGGUGGAGUAACCUUUUAGGAGCUAGCCGUCGAAGGUGGGACAAAUGAUUGGGGUGAAGUCGUAACAAGGUAGCCGUAUCGGAAGGUGCGGCUGGAUCACCUCCUUU